GACGAACGCUGGCGGCGUGCUUAACACAUGCCAGUCGAACGGAAAGGCCCUGCUUUUGUGGGGUGCUCGAGUGGCGAACGGGUGAGUAACACGUGAGUAACCUGCCCUUGACUUUGGGAUAACUUCAGGAAACUGGGGCUAAUACCGGAUAGGAGCUCCUGCUGCAUGGUGGGGGUUGGAAAGUUUCGGCGGUUGGGGAUGGACUCGCGGCUUAUCAGCUUGUUGGUGGGGUAGUGGCUUACCAAGGCUUUGACGGGUAGCCGGCCUGAGAGGGUGACCGGCCACAUUGGGACUGAGAUACGGCCCAGACGCCUACGGGAGGCAGCAGGGGGGAAUAUUGCACAAUGGGCGGAAGCCUGAUGCAGCAACGCCGCGUGCGGGAUGACGGCCUUCGGGUUGUAAACCGCUUUCGCCUGUGACGAAGCGUGAGUGACGGUAAUGGGUAAAGAAGCACCGGCUAACUACGUG
rnacentral:rRNA from 1 species